GAUGAACGCUGGCGGCGUGCUUAACACAUGCAAGUCGAACGGUGAAGGCGGAGCUUGCUCUGCUGGAUCAGUGGCGAACGGGUGAGUAACACGUGAGCAAUCUGCCCCUGACUCUGGGAUAAGCGCUGGAAACGGCCUCUAAUACUGGAUACGAGCUGCGAAGGCAUCUUCAGCAGCUGGAAAGAAUUUCGGUCAGGGAUGAGCUCGCGGCCUAUCAGCUUGUUGGUGAGGUAAUGGCUCACCAAGGCGUCGACGGGUAGCCGGCCUGAGAGGGUGACCGGCCACACUGGGACUGAGACACGGCCCAGACUCCUACGGGAGGCAGCAGUGGGGAAUAUUGCACAAUGGGCGAAAGCCUGAUGCAGCAACGCCGCGUGAGGGACGACGGCCUUCGGGUUGUAAACCUCUUUUAGCAGGGAAGAAGCGAAAGUGACGGUACCUGCAGAAAAAGCGCCGGCUAACUACGUG
rnacentral:rRNA from 1 species